rnacentral:rRNA from 1 species
AGAGUUUGAUCCUGGCUCAGGACGAACGCUGGCGGCGUGCCUAAUACAUGCAAGUCGAGCGAAUCACUUCGGUGAUUAGCGGCGGACGGGUGAGUAACACGUGGGCAACCUGCCUGUAAGACUGGGAUAACUUCGGGAAACCGGAGCUAAUACCGGAUAAUCCUUUUCCUCACAUGGGGAAAAGCUGAAAGACGGUUUCGGCUGUCACUUACAGAUGGGCCCGCGGCGCAUUAGCUAGUUGGUGAGGUAAUGGCUCACCAAGGCGACGAUGCGUAGCCGACCUGAGAGGGUGAUCGGCCACACUGGGACUGAGACACGGCCCAGACUCCUACGGGAGGCAGCAGUAGGGAAUCUUCCGCAAUGGACGAAAGUCUGACGGAGCAACGCCGCGUGAGCGAUGAAGGCCUUCGGGUCGUAAAGCUCUGUUGUUAGGGAAGAACAAGUAUCGGAGUAACUGCCGGUACCUUGACGGUACCUAACCAGAAAGCCACGGCUAACUACGUGCCAGCAGCCGCGGUAAUACGUAGGUGGCAAGCGUUGUCCGGAAUUAUUGGGCGUAAAGCGCGCGCAGGCGGUCCUUUAAGUCUGAUGUGAAAGCCCACGGCUCAACCGUGGAGGGUCAUUGGAAACUGGAGGACUUGAGUACUGAAGAGGAAAGUGGAAUUCCACGUGUAGCGGUGAAAUGCGUAGAGAUGUGGAGGAACACCAGUGGCGAAGGCGACUUUCUGGUCAGUAACUGACGCUGAGGCGCGAAAGCGUGGGGAGCAAACAGGAUUAGAUACCCUGGUAGUCCACGCCGU